GAUGAACGCUGGCGGCGUGCCUAAUACAUGCAAGUCGAACGCACAGCGAAAGGUGCUUGCACCUUUCAAGUGAGUGGCGAACGGGUGAGUAACACGUGGAUAACCUACCUCAAGGUUGGGGAUAACAUUUGGAAACAGAUGCUAAUACCGAAUAAAACUUAGUAUCGCAUGAUACCAGGUUAAAAGGCGCUACGGCGUCACCUAGAGAUGGAUCCGCGGUGCAUUAGUAGUUGUGGGUAAAGGCUUACCAAGACAAUGAUGCAUAGCCGAGUUGAGAGACUGAUCGGCCACAUUGGGACUGAGACACGGCCCAAACUCCUACGGGAGGCUGCAGUAGGGAAUCUUCCACAAUGGGCGAAAGCCUGAUGGAGCAACGCCGCGUGUGUGAUGAAGGC
rnacentral:rRNA from 1 species